GAAGUCAAGCCCUCGACCGAUUAGUACCAGUCAGCUUCAUCCCUUACAGGACUUCCACACCUGGCCUAUCUACCUUAUCAUCUCUAAGGGGUCUUACUAGUCUACACUAUGAGAGACCUCAUCUUAAGGCUGGUUUCACGCUUAGAUGCUUUCAGCGUUUAUCCGUUCCGGACGUAGCUACCCAGCUGUACCCCUGGCGGGAUAACUGGUACACCAUUGGUCCGUCCACUCCGGUCCUCUCGUACUAGGAGCAGUUCCCUUCAAGUCUCUUACGCCCGCGAUGGAUAGGGACCGAACUGUCUCACGACGUUCUGAACCCAGCUCACGUACCACUUUAAUGGGCGAACAGCCCAACCCUUGGGACCUACUUCAGCCCCAGGAUGUGAUGAGCCGACAUCGAGGUGCCAAACCUCCCCGUCGAUAUGGACUCUUGGGAGAGAUUAGCCUGUUAUCCCCAGGGUAGCUUUUAUCCGUUGAGCGAUGGCCCUUCCACUCGGUACCACCGGAUCACUAAGCCCGACUUUCGUCCCUGCUCGACCUGUCCGUCUCGCAGUCAAGCUCCCUUCUGCCUUUGCACUCUGAGCGCGAUUUCCAACCGCGCCGAGGGAACCUUUGGGCGCCUCCGUUACUCUUUCGGAGGCGACCGCCCCAGUCAAACUGCCCACCUGACACGGUCCUACGGUUCGUUACACCGCUAGUUAGAAUUCCAGUAAACAAAGGGUGGUAUCCCAACAUCGACUCCAGACAUACUGGCGUACAUCCUUCUCUGUCUCCCACCUAUCCUGUACAUCAUUUACCAAAAUCCAAUGUCAGGCUGCAGUAAAGCUCCAUGGGGUCUUUCUGUCCAGUCGCGGGUAACCUGCAUCUUCACAGGUAUUUCAAUUUCACCGGGUCCCUCGUUGAGACAGUGCCCAAGUCGUUACACCUUUCGUGCGGGUCGGAACUUACCCGACAAGGAAUUUCGCUACCUUAGGACCGUUAUAGUUACGGCCGCCGUUUACUGGGGCUUCAGUUCGGAGCUUCGGCUUGCGCCUAACCCUUCCCCUUAACCUUCCAGCACCGGGCAGGUGUCAGCACCUAUACGUCAGCUUUCGCUUUAGCAGGCACCUGUGUUUGUGGUAAACAGUCGCUUGGGCCUCUCUUUUGCAACCUCUUCCUGCUUCGCCCGUUUCUAGGCUACACAUCCGAGGCUCCCCUUUUCCCGAAGUUACGGGGACAUUUUGCCGAGUUCCUUAACGAGGGUUUUCCCGCGCACCUUAGGAUUCUCUCCCCGCCUACCUGUGUCGGUUUGCGGUACGGGCACUUUCCGUCUCGCUAGAAGCUUUUCUUGACAGUGUGGUCCAGUUAAGUUCGCCGUUAUUUCUAACAGCUCCCCAUCACUUCUCGGGCUUUUCGAAACCGGGUUUUCCCUCGGUUUCACCCUACCGGCUUAGACGCGAUUUUCCAUCCUCGCGCUUAACUUUCCUCCUGUGUCACUCCAUCACUCAAACGACUUCAAGUGGUACUGGAAUUUCAACCAGUUGUCCAUCGCCUACGCAUCUACGCCUCGGCUUAGGUCCCGACUUACCCUGAGUCGACGAUCGUUGCUCAGGAAUCCUUAGGCUUUCGGUGGGAAGGAUUCUCACCUUCCUUUUCGCUACUCAUACCGGCAUUCUCACUUCUUAUCGCUCCACAGCUCCUUCCGGUACUGCUUCUACGCUAUAAGAACGCUCCCCUACCCAUGUCUUUCGACAUGCCAUAGCUUCGGUUCCGUGCUUUAGCCCCGGACAUCUUCGGCGCAAAACCUCUCGACCAGUGAGCUAUUACGCACUCUUUCAAUGGUGGCUGCUUCUAAGCCAACAUCCUGGUUGUUUCGGAAGUUUCACAUCCUUUGCCACUUAGCACGGCAUUGGGGACCUUAGCUGAUGGUCUGGGCUGUUUCCCUCUUGACCACGGGUCUUAUCACUCGUAGUCUGACUCCUAAAGAUAAGUACAGCCAUUCGCAGUUUGACUGGGUUCGGUAACCUUUACGGCCCCUAGCCCGAUCAGAGCUCUACCGCCUGUACUCUCCCUUUAAGGCUAGCCCUAAAGCUAUUUCGGGGAGAACCAGCUAUCUCCGCGUUCGAUUGGCAUUUCACCCCUAUCCACAACUCAUCCCAAAGCUUUUCAACGCUCACGGGUUCGGGCCUCCACCUAAUUUUACCUAGGCUUCACCCUGGCCAUGGAUAGAUCACUGCGGUUUCGGGUCUACAAUCACUAACUUAUCGCCCUAUUAAGACUCGCUUUCGCUUCGGCUCCGUGUUUCCCACUUAACCUCGCUAGUGACUGUAACUCGCCGGUUCAUUCUUCAAUAGGCACGCCGUCAAGCUUGCUUAUCGCAUAGCUCUUCGACUGCUUGUAGACAUACGGUUUCAGGUUCUCUUUCACUCCCCUCCCGGGGUGCUUUUCACCUUUCCCUCACGGUACUAUGCGCUAUCGGUCGCCACGAGUAUUUUGCCUUGGAGGGUGGUCCCCCCUGCUUCCCACAGGGUUUCUCGUGUCCCGUGGUACUCUGGAUUCCGGCCCUUUCGCUCCGUCUUUCGCCUACAAGGCUUUUACUUCCUGCGGCCUACCUUUCCAGGUAGUUCGGCUUGACUUCGCGACUCUUUUGCCGGUCCUCAACCCCAGCCGAGUUGCCUCGCCUGGUUUGGGCUUCUUCCCUGUUCGCUCGCCGCUACUUCGGGAAUCUCGUUUGAUUUCUUUUCCUCCGGGUACUUAGAUGUUUCAGUUCCCCGGGUGCCCUCCUAUUUUGCAAUAGGUGACGGUGCAUUACCACCGCCGGGUUCCCCCAUUCGGAGAUCCAGGGAUUAUUGCCUGCUUGCGGCUCCCCCUGGCUUUUCGGAGCUUACCCCGUCCUUCUUCGGCUCUUGGCGCCUAGGCAUCCACCGUAUGCCCUU
rnacentral:rRNA from 1 species